CAGAACUCAGCCCAGGAGGGCUAGCCUUGACAAAAUGUUAUAGGGAAAAGAGCAUGUCUGACUUUGGAGUCCGAUAGAUGGAAUUUGGUAAACCAGUUCUCUCUCCCUGUGAUCCCGGGUAAGAUACCUAACCUCCCUCAACUGAUUUCUUUCUCUCUAAAUGGGGCCAAUCGCACCUACUUCUUAGGCUACUGGGACCAGUAACUAUAGUGAAAUCAUUUGAUAACUUCCUCUGAGUAGUAAGGAUUUUCCUGGUACCUGACACUAAUGUGGAUUUGUGUUGUGCCUCAUAGUGAAGGCAAUUUGGACCAUUGGAGAUUGGUUCUGAUUCGCUUCUCAGCUUCCCAUGCCCCUUCUCCAACCAGGCUAGGCUAAGUUUGUUCUUCUGUGGAAGGUGAGGGCUAGUUGGGAAGUCAGGAAGCGACUUCCUGAUGAUCAUUUGGGACUUUUUUCGUUCAAUGUAUGAUGCGUGUUUAAUUUGUAAUGAUUAGUCUGUUUCCUAUAUGUGUAAUAAAUGAAAACGAAAGAAAUAAUUUUUCUCCUUUUUUUUCACACUGACUGAAAGGCCAACUGAAAAAUCGUUGGUUCUUAUUACACACAAUAAUGUAACUCUGCAUUUUAUGCAGUUAAACUUUUUAGACCCUGCUUGCGCAUGUACAGUGCCUAGGACCUUGCCUGGUGCUGAAUGGAUGCUAGUUUCAUCCUUUUGCCCCAUCACUGCCUCCUGCCCAUCUCCAUAGACUGCAUACUCAGGGGAGAACUCCCUGGGAGCCUCUUUUCCAUGGAGUGUGAGCUGGAUUCUCAAGCACUGCUGGAAUCCCAGCACUUGGCUGACAUGGCAGAGGCUGGACAAAAAGACUCCUCAGAGGAGGCAACACUGGUGUACUGAGAACAAGUGAUUUCUGAGCUCAUCUUGAAGGUGAGAAACUGGCCCAUCAGUGCCUGACCCAACACUUACCCAUAGGCAGCCUCUU
rnacentral:lncRNA from 1 species